rnacentral:lncRNA from 1 species
UUUUACCUCCCCUUCAGGAGACAGACAACUCUACUCUUAUGAGACCUCUCUUGCCACUUGCUUCCUUAUUUAUUCUUUCUUGGAUGCUACUUUCACUGCAGGAAAAAGUUUUGCAGAGGUGAAAUUCACUUUUGACACCAGAAGAUGUGCUGGUGAAUCCAUGGUAUAA